CGCCAUUUAAAGUGGUACGCGAGCUGGGUUUAGAACGUCGUGAGACAGUUUGGUCCCUAUCUGGUGUGGGCGUUAGAGACUUGAGAGGAGCUGCUCCUAGUACGAGAGGACCGGAGUGGACGUACCUCUGGUGUUCCAGUUGUCACGCCAGUGGCAUUGCUGGGUAGCUAUGUACGGACGGGAUAACCGCUGAAAGCAUCUAAGCGGGAAGCCCCCCUCAAGAUAAGGUCUCUCUGGAUCCUUGAGAUCCCUGAAGGGUCGUUGAAGACUACAACGUUGAUAGGCGGGGUGUGGAAGUGCAGUAAUGCAUUAAGCUAACCCGUACUAAUAGCCCGUGAGGCUUGAUCAUAUAACACCCAAGAAG
rnacentral:rRNA from 1 species